rnacentral:rRNA from 1 species
AUUGCGAAGGCAGCUCACUAAACUAUUACUGACGCUCAUGAACGAAAGCGUGGGAGCAAACAGGAUUAGAUACCCUGGUAGUCCACGCCGUAAACUAUGAUCACUAGAUGUUGGCGAUAUAUUGUCAGUGUUUUAGAGAAAUCGUUAAGUGAUCCACCUGGGGAGUACGUUCGCAAGAAUGAAACUCAAAGGAAUUGACGGGGGCCCGCACAAGCGGAGGAGCAUGUGGUUUAAUUCGAUGAUACGCGAGGAACCUUACCAAGACUUAAAUGUAUUUUGACAGGUUGAGAAAUCAACUUUUCUUCGGACAAUUUACAAGGUGCUGCAUGGUUGUCGUCAGCUCGUGCCGUGAGGUGUCGGGUUAAGUCCCGUAACGAGCGCAACCCCUAUUUUUAGUUACCAGCGAGUCAUGUCGGGAACUCUAGAAAGACUGCCUGUGUAAACGGUGAGGAAGGUGGGGAUGACGUCAAAUCAUCACGGCCCUUAUGUCUUGGGCUACACACGUGCUACAAUGGUCACUACAGUGGGCUGCCAUCUGGCAACAGAGAGCAAAUCCAUAAAGGUGAUCCCAGUUCGGAUCGGAGUCUGCAACUCGACUCUGUGAAGUUGGAUUCGCUAGUAAUCGUAUAUCAGCAAUGAUACGGUGAAUACGUUCCCGGGCCUUGUACACACCGCCCGUCAAGCCAUGGAAGUUUGUGGUGCCUGAAGUCAGUAACCGUAAGGAUCUGCCUAGGGUAAAACAGAUAACUAGGGCUAAGUCGUAACAAGGUAACCGUA